UACGAAGGGGGCUAGCGUUGCUCGGAAUCACUGGGCGUAAAGGGUGCGUAGGCGGGUUUUUAAGUCAGAGGUGAAAUCCCGGAGCUCAACUCCAGAACUGCCUUUGAUACUGAAAGUCUUGAGUAUGGGAGAGGUGAGUGGAACUGCGAGUGUAGAGGUGAAAUUCGUAGAUAUUCGCAAGAACACCAGUGGCGAAGGCGGCUCACUGGCCCGGUACUGACGCUGAGGUGCGAAAGCGUGGGGAGCAAACAGG
rnacentral:rRNA from 1 species